UUAACACAUGCAAGUCGAACGAGAAAGUGGAGCAAUCCAUGAGUAAAGUGGCGUACUGGUGAGUAACACGUGGGUAAUCUACCUCUGGGUGGGGAAUAACUCUGGGAAACCGGAGCUAAUACCGCAUAAGCCUGUAAAGGGAAAGGCGAAAGUCGCCGAGAGAGGAGCCCGCGGCUGAUUAGCUAGUUGGUGGGGUAAGAGCUCACCAAGGCUGAGAUCGGUAGCCGGCCUGAGAGGGCACACGGCCACACUGGCACUGAAACACGGGCCAGACUCCUACGGGAGGCAGCAGUGGGGAAUCUUGCACAAUGGGGGAAACCCUGAUGCAGCGACGCCGCGUGAGCGAUGAAGCCCUUCGGGGUGUAAAGCUCUUUCGGCAGGGACGAUAAUGACGGU
rnacentral:rRNA from 1 species